AAACUCGGAUUAAUACCGGAUAUUCUUAUUUAAUCACAUGAUUUUUUAAGGAAAGGUCAGCCGAACUAAGAUGGGCUCGCGUUCUAUCAGCUAGUUGGUAGGGUAAU
rnacentral:rRNA from 1 species